rnacentral:rRNA from 1 species
GUGGGGAAUUUUGGACAAUGGGCGCAAGCCUGAUCCAGCCAUUCCGCGUGCAGGAUGAAGGCCUUCGGGUUGUAAACUGCUUUUGUACGGAACGAAAAGCCUCUGGUUAAUACCCGGGGGUCAUGACGGUACCGUAAGAAUAAGCACCGGCUAACUACGUGCCAGCAGCCGCGGUAAUACGUAGGGUGCGAGCGUUAAUCGGAAUUACUGGGCGUAAAGCGUGCGCAGGCGGUGAUGUAAGACAGUUGUGAAAUCCCCGGGCUCGACCUGGGAACUGCAUCUGUGACUGCAUUGCUGGAGUGCGGCAGAGGGGGAUGGAAUUCCGCGUGUAGCAGUGAAAUGCGUAGAUAUGCGGAGGAACACCGAUGGCGAAGGCAAUCCCCUGGGCCUGCACUGACGCUCAUGCACGAAAGCGUGGGGAGCAAACAGGAUUAGAAACCCUUGUAGUCC